UACGUAGGGUGCGAGCGUUGUCCGGAAUUAUUGGGCGUAAAGAGCUCGUAGGCGGCCUGUUGCGUCCGCUGUGAAAGCCCCGGGGCUUAACCCCCGGGUCUGCAGUGGAUACGGGCAGGCUAGAGGUAGGUAGGGGAGAAUGGAAUUCCCGGUGUAGCGGUGAAAUGCGCAGAUAUCGGGAGGAACACCGGUGGCGAAGGCGGUUCUCUGGGCCUUACCUGACGCUGAGGAGCGAAAGCGUGGGGAGCGAACAGG
rnacentral:rRNA from 1 species